GACAGAGGGGGCAAGCGUUGCUCGGAAUUACUGGGCGUAAAGCGUGCGCAGGCGGUUGGGCAAGACAGAUGUGAAAUCCCCGGGCUUAACCUGGGAAUGGCAUUUGUGACUGUUCGGCUAGAGUGUGUCAGAGGGGGGUAGAAUUCCACGUGUAGCAGUGAAAUGCGUAGAGAUGUGGAGGAAUACCGAUGGCGAAGGCAGCCCCCUGGGAUAACACUGACGCUCAUGCACGAAAGCGUGGGGAGCAAACAGG
rnacentral:rRNA from 1 species